rnacentral:rRNA from 1 species
UCUGGUUGAUCCUGCCAGUAGUCAUAUGCUUGUCUCAAAGAUUAUGCCAUGCAUGUCUAAGUAUAAAUAGUAUACAGUGAAACUGCGAAUGGCUCAUUAAAACAGUUAUAGUUUAUUUGAUAAUUGACAAUUACAUGGAUAACCGUGGUAAUUCUAGAGCUAAUACAUGCUUAAACGCCCGACUUUAUGGAAGGGUGGUAUUUAUUAGACUGAAGCCAAUAUUCCUUGUGUCUAUUGCGGUGAUUCAUAAUAACUGAUCGAAUCUCUUUUUGAGAUAAAUCAUUCAAGUUUCUGCCCUAUCAGCUUUCGAUGGUAGUGUAUUGGACUACCAUGGCAGUAACGGGUAACGAAGAAUUAGGGUUCGAUUUCGGAGAGGGAGCAUGAGAAACGGCUACCACAUCUAAGGAAGGCAGCAGGCGCGUAAAUUACCCAAUCCUGACUCAGGGAGGUAGUGACAAGAAAUAGCAAACCGGGAACCUCAUGGUUUCACGGUAUUGCAAUGAGAACAAUUUAAAACCCUUAGCGAGAAUCAAGUGGAGGACAAGUCUGGUGCCAGCACCCGCGGUAAUUCCAGCUCCACUAGCGUAUAUUAAAGUUGUUGCAGUUAAAAAGCUCGUAGUUGAACCUCUGUCUGGGGCUAGUUUUGGCUUUGGUCAGGCUAGUUCUAGGCAUCCGCCUACAAGACUUAGAGGGCAUUCAGUUGUUCACUAGGAGGAGUAGGCAUUUUACUUUGAAAAAAUUAGAGUGUUUAAGGCAGGCAAUCGCCCGCAUAUAUUAGCAUGGAAUAAUAGAAUAGGACACUUUUCCAUUUCGUUGGUUAUUGGAAUCGUGUAAUGAUUAAUAGGGACAGUUGUGGGCAUUUGUAUUUAAUUGUCAGAGGUGAAAUUCUUGGAUUUAUUAAAGACAAACUAACGCGAAAGCAUUUGCCAAGGAUGUUUUCAUUAAUCAAGAACGGAAGUUAGGGGAUCAAAGACGAUCAGAUACCGUCCUAGUCUUAACUAUAAACUAUUCCGACUCAAUGUUUGACUGGCUUAUAUAACCAGUUGAGCGUUGUAUGAGAAAUCAAAGUCUUUAGGUUCUGGGGGGAGUAUGGUUGCAAAGCUGAAACUUAAAGGAAUUGACGGAAGAGCACAACCAGGAGUGGAUUCUGCGGCUUAAUUUGACUCAACACGGGGAAACUUACCAGGUUAAAACAAUAGUGGGAUUGACAGUUUGAGAGCGCUUUCUUGAUUGGUUGGGUGGUGGUGCAUGGCCGUUCUUAGUUGC